UCCACAUCUCACCCCCAAAGAAAUCAACUUUGCAGUGGUAGAUGAGUUUGUGGAACAGCUGUUGAUUGUGUACCUGCUCUGUUCAAGAUCAACAGUGAAAACUUAUUGUUUUUCGAUUUUGGAAUCUUAAGAGUUGCAGACACUGCUGGAAGCACAGAUGGACAAGAUGGCAUCUGCGCUGCUUCUGGUAUCUGUGACCCAUUUACCCAGAGGAGAAAUUAUCCAUGCAGCAUGCUGGUUUAACAUUUCGAUCAACAAACAACAACUCCACCACCCAGCUUGAGGAGUGAGAUCUUCACUCUAACUGUUCUCAGCACAGUCUCCUGGUGCAAAGCUGGACUAAGAAUUUUAACAUUACACUUUGCACCUCUUUUAUUCAAUGGUAAGACCCAAAAUAAACCUUUCUGCCUAGGUAUGAACAUCUCUUUUGCUUCAAAGGUUCGAAAGUAUUCUCUGUCAACACAAACUCCCUGACCUCCAUGCUUAGAGCUGCGUAAAAGUUAACUUCUUCUGAGCCACUUGUUGAAACUUGUAAAUGAACUGACUUUUCUGCAGUUGUGACUUAUCAAUUACAUCAGCAUUAUCAUUUCUUGCCCACUGGCAGAGGAGUUAUAGUUGUAGAUGGGAGUCUUAUCGGGCAUUCGGUAUGACUUCCUUGUCAACUCACUUCAUUCCAUGUGGAAAGAGACAGGUGUACACUAGAGCUUUCAAAAUCUAUUUAGAGACCCAGCAUCUAGCAGAAAAUAAUUUUUUUCUAUACAGCACUUUGUUGUUUUUACCCACUAUUGUGCUAUGCAUGCAUUGUAGCGCAUUACCUUACUUAAUCUUCUUGGUAAUUCUCUAAGGUACAAGGAGAUUAAAACUGACUUGGGCAAGGACAUUACAAACUGGAGAGCCAGGACUUGAACCUCGGUAAUCUGACACCAAAGUUCUUAUUCCUAACCACUUCAUUUAUACUGAUACUCUAAGAAUUUCCUUUCUAUAACUAAAAUUAUGUAUUAAAUUUUUUACAUUUAUUAGAAGAAUAAAUUCUAAAAAUAUAAAAACUAACUCUUGGCCAAUAUGGAAGCAUUUUAUUAGUGUACUGAAGAUAGAAUUUGAGAUCAGAGGCGGGGUACAUUUACUUCUAAUUUACGAGUUGGUACAUGGGAGCAGAAAAUGUGGUAAUAAGAGUUUUUCUGCCUUUUUAGACAUUCAGCCCAUUUUUUCACCAGAUUAUUGGUGAGAUGCAUGUUCUGUAGUGUUACAGCUUACCCACCAUAGUCAAAAUGUUCUGUAGAGCUAUUUAAGUAGAUGUGAUGAGGGUUUGUUUUAAGUAAAGGGUGAAUGUGACUUUCAUUAUUCUCUGUGAUAUAUAAACAUGAAUUAAUAAAGGUUUCUCUUGAAACUUGUUCAAGAAUUGGCAUGCAUUUCCAAUUAAUCUCAUAACUUAUAUUUAACUGUUUGGCUGUGCUCCAUAAUUGAUGGAUGUUAUUUUAAUUCAGAUACAGAGAGGGAGAGAAUGCCCAGACUAGACAACAGGGUAUAUGUCAACUUUUAGACACAUUUUACUCUCCCAAUUAAUCUAUGUUUUGGGCCCAUCACACUUUGGCUCACAAGACCUCUGUAAAUGACCAUUAUUGUCAGUUCUUAACAAAUUGCUAAAAUGACUUUUCCUAAAAGAUCCAUCAUAUUGGUGACAAACCUUGCACAGGGUAGGACAUCCAGGUUACUGAUUAGCUUUCAAGAAUGGACUCAAUGGAAAAUCAGUUAAAUCUUCAGAAAAGAUGGACUUAAAGGAGCAUUUGGCUGAUGGAACCCAGUAGGCUGGGAGAGACAGCACUUGAAGUCUGGGUAAAGGUAUGAAGAUGAAAGUGAGAAAAACAGAUAAAAUCAGAAAGUAAAGAACUAUUGAGAGAAUAAAACAUAUAUAUACUUUUCUUCUUCAUUGUCUAUAAGGUAAAGUCCAGGUCCCUUCACACAGCAUUCGAGGCCCUUCACAAAUUGAUGCCGACCAUUUCUCAACCUUAUCCCCUAGCACUGUCCCCUCUGUUUCAUGUCCUGCUGGCACAGUGUGUGCUCUUCCCAGGAACACGGCACACUCAUGUAAUAGUGCCGCUGAACUUGCUUUCUCCUCUGCCUUCACUUGAUUGACUUAGAAAAGUCUUCAUUUCUGAACCUUAAAUGUUACUUUCUUUUUAUGAAAACUUUGCAAACUCCUUCUUCCCCACCUCCACUCAUCACACCCAACAAGAAGUAAUUGCCUUUCCCCCACUCCCCAAGCUUCUUUCAGCAUCUUCCUUAUCAUGUUGACAUUUGCUAGGGGUCAAAAUGCAUACUUUACUCUUCUUGGUACUACCAAGCACCUAGCAUUCAAUCUGUUUUUACUCAACUACGUUCCUUUUUAACAUCCAGGUCACUUUCCACUCCCUAGCUCCUUCAUGAUAUGUCUUCCUCCCUCACUCUUAUUUUUAGAAUAAUAACAUUAUUCCAGUGCAACACAAUCACAUAAUAAUAAAGAUAACUAACAUUUGUAUAAUAAUACUUUAUAAAUUACCAAUAUUUUCAAAUCUGUAUUAGUUUUCUAGGGCUGCCACGACAAAAUACCACAAAUGGGGUGCCUUAAACAAUAGAAAUUUAUUUUCCCACAGUUCUGGAGGGUGGACGUCCAAGAUCAAGGUGCUGGCAGGUUUGGUUUCUUCUGAGGCCUCUCUCCUUGGCUUGUAGAUGGUUUCCUCUCAUUGUGUCCUCACAUGGUCACUCCUCAGUGUGUGGACUGUGUCCUGAUCUCCUCUUCUUAUAAGGAUAUCAAUCAUAUUGUAUUAAGGUCUACUCAUAUGACCUUAUUUUAUCUUAGUUACCUCUUUAAAGGUGCUAUCUCCAAGUACAGUCACAUUCUGAGGUACUGAGAGUCAGGACUUCAGCAUGUGCAUUUGGGACAGGGGUUGUGGGGAAAAGACACAAUUCAGCCCGUGAGUAUCCAUUAUCUCAUUUAUCCUCAUAAGCAAUAACUGCAGCCACUCUGUGCCCGUGCACUAUUUUCAUGGUGAACUUCUUCAAAAGACGGCUCUUCUGCACCUAACUUUACUUCUUCAGGCCUUCAUGAUCUAGACCUCAAGUCUAUUUAUUUUGGAAAGGGGCUUUGUUCCUUAAUGAGUGAAUACAACAGUGCAUCAAAAUUCUAGAGUUUCUUACAGAGUUUAAAUUGUCAAGAGCUGAGCCUCAUUGUCAGUAGAAGAAGAAGAAGAAAGUGCUCCUUCCCUAGCACUGAGAAAACAGGAAAACUAAAUUCGUAAGCAAAACUUGUUUUUUGCAGUCAUUCAAAGCCUAAGUAAGGCAUUUAAAGGUGCAUAUGUUGGGCAUUUCAACUGGAAAAAUGCUAGCCUAGUUAAGAAUGGAAACGGGUACCUACUGCCUUGUACGUCUGCCUAUUUUCUGACCCCAGGGCCCGCAAAGCACCCAUUGAUGUGAAUGGCUCCUUUCAUAUGAAAAAAACAGUGAGGCUGGUCUCGAACUCCCAACCUCAGAUGAACUGCCUGCCUUGGCCUCCCAAAGUGCUAGGAUUACAGGCAUGAGCAACCGCGCCUGGCCUUUCAAAAGGAUCUUAAUCCCAGGCCAAUGUGGGGAGCACUGUAUAUACUACAGUAUGACUGAGAGUUGUUUUAGAGCCCUGCAAAGUUCCCUUGUUAGCAUUUUAGUCAGGGGUAUGAAGACACUGUGCACUGCAAGACUCAACCCAUUUCUGAUCCCUUUCUCAUGAAUCACUCUGAUACUAUACCCAGAAAAAGCCAUCACAUGCCAUCUAAUGCAUUUCAGGACUGCAUCUGAGCUGCAAGCGGAAGACACAGUAGAUGUGACAUUGACUGUGAACUGCACAUGAAGCAAGUGCAACCUCAGGCCUGCCUUGCUUCAGAAGUUAAAAAUAUUUCGGAGGCAAUAAGGAGCGCACAAACCAUAGUUCCGGUUCUUCCUUUCCACUGGAGAUCCACGCAACCCGGGCAGAGGAAGAGAUUGUUUCUCCCAAGCCUUGGAGCUCAUUCGAGGAGAGACUUGGAGACUUUGUGAGGGAAAGACACAGGGAAACGCUGCCGGCAUUUUCCCAAACCUGGACUGGGAGCAGGACAACACUGGGGGAUCUUCCCUAUCUGGUUCAACCCAUCUUGUGCCCCCAAUCCCCCUACCCCUACAUUUUCUAUUUGAUGUUUUGGGGGAAUUUUUUUAUUUUUGCCGCUUUCCUUAGUUUCUGUCUCCAUUACAACAUCCUAACACUCUAAUUGGCUUUGUAUGGGACAAACAGGAAGUAUUGCUUCUGGCAGGAUGGGAUUUUCUGUCCUGUUGAUUGAUGGAUUAAUUUUUAUUGAGCACGGUGUGCUACCAGCGGAACCAAAAAUCCAAGAUACAAUUCCAGCUCUAGGAGUCUAUGUUCUAAUAAAAGUAAGAACAACAUAUUCAAACAUCCCUGUUUCUUUUUCUCGUCAGUUUCCCUUCUACUGAGACAACUACACAGAUAAUUUAGGACCCCAAAACAUGCUAUUAAAAAAGGACCUGACUGGACCAGACAGCUGGGUGGGGGCAGUGGUUUCAUCUGAAGAGCUUCAGUCAUCAUAUUGGCUGAGUGGCUGCUCGGUGCUGGACUUUAAAAGAGUUAAACAUUUUUCCAGAUUUUUUUGGUUACAUUCUUAUGUCAAGUUAGAUUAAACAAAGUUACAGUCUUGAACUAUGCAGUAGUUUAAACCCAUACAGAAAUCUCUUCACUAAAAUACAACACAAUACUAUAUGGCUCAAUUUCAUGAAGGGCUAACGAUUUUAUAUAGUCAUAUUAAGAAUGUUUCAUUGUCUCUUCAUGUCUGUGAUAUAAGGAUCCAGAUCAUUUUUUUCAUAAAUUAGCAUCCCCCCAAAGAAGUCUCCUUUCCCUAACUAUUCUCUCUUAAUCAAGCACCGAAAGCCAGGAAACCCAGGUAAUAGAUAUUUUCCUAUUUCCUCAGAGCAAAUUUUCGUGCUCAAAUGAAAAAACUGUUUCAUCUUUGGAUCAGUUACAAUAUUUCUGAACCACUAUUUCCUCAUCUAUAAGAUAAAGAAUAUUGGAGAUGAUCAUUUUGUUUCCUUCCAGCUCUGAACCACCCCAACAGACACAAACUUUCUUGUGUGAUUUCUGAUUUCAUUUGCAACCUUACUCAAUUCCAGUAGAAGCUGCAUAGGAGCAGGGUCUAUGUCCAUCUUGUUCAGGUAUAGGCCUAGCUCCUAGCACAUGAAAGUAGGGCAGUUAAUAUAAUUUGAAUGAAUAAAUUAUGUUCCAAGCGA
rnacentral:lncRNA from 1 species